rnacentral:rRNA from 1 species
GAUGAACGCUGGCGGCGUGCCUAAUACAUGCAAGUCGAGCGAACAGACGAGGAGCUUGCUCCUCUGACGUUAGCGGCGGACGGAUUAGUAACACGUGGAUAACCUACCUAUAAGACUGGGAUAACUUCGGGAAACCGGAGCUAAUACCGGAUAAUAUAUUGAACCGCAUGGUUCAAUAGUGAAAGACGGUUUUGCUGUCACUUAUAGAUGGAUCCGCGCCGCAUUAGGUAGUUGGUAAGGUAACGGCUUACCAAGGCGACGAUGCGUAGCCGGCCUGAGAGGGUGAUCGGCCACACUGGAACUGAGACACGGUCCAGACUCCUACGGGAGGCAGCAGUAGGGAAUCUUCCGCAAUGGGCGAAAGCCUGACGGAGCAACGCCGCGUGAGUGAUGAAGGUCUUCGGAUCGUAAAACUCUGUUGUUCGGGAAGAACAAAUGUGUAAGUAACUAUGCACCUCUUGACGGUACCUAAUCAGAAAGCCACGGCUAACUACGUG